GGAGGAGAGACAGAAGAGGGGCUGCAGCCUCCCCAACGUGAGGGCAGGGCGGCACACUGAGGUCCGAAUGGCUGUCUAGAACUUACAGGAGCCUCCUGAGAGGUUGACGUGGGACCCAGUCAUGGUGGGGAGCCUGCCCUCCCCCAAAGGGAGCGGAGGGCCCUCAGAGGUCUCCUGGGCUAGAGGGAGGCCUGGGUGUGAGGAUCUGGGUGAAAGCUGAGCGCAGUCUGGCGGAACGGGGGCCAGAGCGUAGGCUGGGCCCCUGUGGGUAGAAGAGGCACUAGCAGUUCCUUCGGAGGUCGGGGAACUCCAACAGGCUGGAGGGGGAAGAGCUGAGUGGGUGGAGAGAUGUGCUGGAUGGGCAGCCAGCUCUGAGGGGCCUGAGUCCUCUUAGAAUUGCCCUUGGCCAUGGCUGAGGCCUGGGGAGGCCCGCAGCAUGUUUGCUGGGGUGGGCUGGGGACACUGCUGGAGACCAGAACAAGCCCCUUAGCCGGAGCCGAAGGAAAUGGCUGAGGGAACCUUCUGUACAUGCCGCGCCGCCCCCUGAGAAGAGCCUCCAGGAAGGAGGCAGCAAAGAGGAAGCUGGCGUGGUCUUUCUCAGCCGCCUCCCCCCACCCCCGCAACCCAGCACACCUGGGUGGACUCCAGCCUAAGCUCCACUGAUCUCAGAAGGCCGCACCCUCUCCCACCUUGUGCUUCCGAUGCUCCUCUCCUGGAUCCCACACCAAGGGGUCCCGGCAGUCAGGGGGCUCCCCUGGAAGCAACCUGAAGUUGUCACUCACCUUUGGAAUGGGUCU